GACGAACGCUGGCGGCGUGCCUAACACAUGCAAGUCGAACGGAGAUAGAGAGCUUGCUCUCUAUUCUUAGUGGCGGACGGGUGAGUAACGCGUGAGCAACUUGCCUUACAGAGGGGGAUAGCCAUUGGAAACGAUGGAUAAUACCGCAUAACGUAUAGUCAUGGCAUCUUGACAAUACCAAAGGAGCAAUCCGCUGUAAGAUGGGCUCGCGUCCGAUUAGAUAGUUGGCGGGGCAACGGCCCACCAAGUCGACGAUCGGUAGCCGGACUGAGAGGUUGAACGGCCACAUUGGGACUGAGACACGGCCCAGACUCCUACGGGAGGCAGCAGUGAGGGAUAUUGCACAAUGGGCGAAAGCCUGAUGCAGCAACGCCGCGUGAAGGAUGACGGUUUUCGGAUUGUAAACUUCUGUUCUAAGUGAAGAUAAUGACAUUAGCUUAGGAGAAAGCCACGGCUAACUACGUGCCAGCAGCCGCGGUAAUACGUAGGUGGCAAGCGUUGUCCGGAUUUACUGGGUAUAAAGGGAGCGCAGGCGGGAUAGCAAGUCAGCGGUGAAAUGCAAAGGCUUAACCUUUGAACUGCCGUUGAAACUGUUAUUCUUGAGUGAAGUAGAGGCAAGCGGAAUUCCGAGUGUAGCGGUGAAAUGCGUAGAUAUUCGGAGGAACACCAGUGGCGAAGGCGGCUUGCUGGGCUUUUACUGACGCUGAGGCUCGAAAGUGUGGGGAGCAAACA
rnacentral:rRNA from 1 species